AACGAACGCUGGCGGCAGGCCUAACACAUGCAAGUCGAGCGAGGUAGCAAUGCCUAGCGGCGGACGGGUGAGUAACGCGUGGGAACGUGCCCUUUGCUUCGGAAUAGCCCCGGGAAACUGGGAGUAAUACCGAAUGUGCCCUUCGGGGGAAAGAUUUAUCGGCAAAGGAUCGGCCCGCGUUGGAUUAGGUAGUUGGUGGGGUAAUGGCCUACCAAGCCGACGAUCCAUAGCUGGUUUGAGAGGAUGAUCAGCCACACUGGGACUGAGACACGGCCCAGACUCCUACGGGAGGCAGCAGUGGGGAAUCUUAGACAAUGGGCGCAAGCCUGAUCUAGCCAUGCCGCGUGAUCGAUGAAGGCCUUAGGGUUGUAAAGAUCUUUCAGAUGGGAAGAUAAUGACUGUACCAUCAGAAG
rnacentral:rRNA from 1 species